rnacentral:rRNA from 1 species
AGAACGAACGCUGGCGGCAUGCCUAAUACAUGCAAGUCGAACGAACACUUCGGUGUUAGUGGCGCACGGGUGCGUAACGCGUGGGAAUCUGCCCUUGGGUUCGGAAUAACAGUUGGAAACGACUGCUAAUACCGGAUGAUAUCGAAAGAUCAAAGAUUUAUCGCCCAGGGAUGAGCCCGCGUAGGAUUAGCUAGUUGGUGAGGUAAAGGCUCACCAAGGCGACGAUCCUUAGCUGGUCUGAGAGGAUGAUCAGCCACACUGGGACUGAGACACGGCCCAGACUCCUACGGGAGGCAGCAGUAGGGAAUAUUGGACAAGUGGGCGCAAGCCUGAUCCAGCAAUGCCGCGUGAGUGAUGAAGGCCUUAGGGUUGUAAAGCUCUUUUACCCGAGAUGAUAAUGACAGUAUUGGAGAAUAAGCCCGGCUAACUCCGCGCCAGCAGCCGC